CCGUCCUCUCUGCGCUCUGUUCACCCUUUACGGGCACAUAUUUCGGUGCUGACACGCAUAUUUGGGAACAUAAAUUCCUCAUUUUGCUCCUGCGGCACAGCUUGUUUGGGUUAACGUUAACCCUGCUCCCCUCUGUUUUAUAACGCUAACGGAUUAAUUUAGCCGAACCAACGUUAAAUAGUUAGUAGCUGUGAUUCCCGUCUUGAUAACAAGUUAAACAGCUGACUUACCUUUUACUUAUGACGGAAAUGGAUGGGAGUGAUGUGAAACGAUAAGAUGCCAAAACAACAACAGAUGUUAAGUAAAUUAACCAGGCAGGGACCAGGAAACAAGGUUAUAUUUUUUUAUUAUAAACUGAUGGAUUGUCGUUCAGGUUAGUGUAAACUAAACGAGUGAACUGUGAAAAAGCAAGAGCUAGCUAAGCUGUGUCCACUAACGGACGUUAACGGUAACACCCCAUAAAGUCUUUUUGAAGUGGAUCUACGUUAAAACGUUAACACCACUCACCUGACCAGGAGAAGAUCGCCUCUGAUUGUCUUAUCUGGCUGUCCAACGGUGACCUUUAUUUUGCCCAGAAUAUCGAUUAGUCUCCCCUCCUUCAAACAGUGAGCUCCCUUCUCCUUCUUCUCUCAUCAACUGCCGAGAAGACAAAACACAUCUGACCGAGGAGGGGCUGGACCAGACUCAUGAUGCCUUCAAGACUUCGUCAGAAGCUCAGACUUUUUCCUGGUUCCUGAUGGGUUGGAUCUGGAGGCCAUGAAGGAAUUGGAGUCCAGAUCGCAUAAAACCCUCCCCAUCCAAGUAAUUUGUGGGUUCUUCCCUGAUUUGCAAUGGUCUUUGAGCUGGGUCAUGAAAGUGCAAGGGGCUUUGGCACAUCUACAGUCAAAGAUAAUUAAACAAUAUGUAGAUUAUUACAUUUUAAGUCAUUGGUUUUUUAUGCAGUACCAUAAGAGAGAGGAGGGAUAUAGUCAUGUUCAGAUACAUUUUAAUCAUGAAAAGUAGCCUGCAGUAAAUGAUAAACUCACUGCACUCAACUGUAGCACUUGUGUACAGAACGUGAAAGAAUUAUACAAAACAAUGAAAUUUGCAGCUUGUUGUUCAAAUACUUUGCCACAAUUCAGCAACGUGGAUUUUACAACGCUGGUUUCAUCUGUACUGCGAUAUUUCCGACAGAUCAUGAAGGUAACAUCUUAGGGCUUUUGACCUCUGUCAACAUUAAAGGGCAAAAUCUUUGACAGGAAUAGCUUAGUAUCAUCCUGAUGUUUUGGAACUGAAUCUUUGCAAAUCAGCAGAAGAGGAGGAAGUAUUCAAGUCCUUUACAAAAAUAAAAAUAGCAACAAAAGUAAAAGCAAAAGUUAAAAGCAAAAGUAGGAACAUUUUUAUCUACAGGUGAAAAGUAGCAGUACUACAUUUCCUUUCAGCCUUUACUCACUCAAGUUUGAUGCAGAAGUGUGUGACUGUGCGUGCUGCUUUUUGUUUAGUUUUCUCAAUGCUUCACUUGUAUAUAUGCGAUUUGGUGUUUUCUUUUGAUACUAUG